AACGAACGCUGGCGGCAGGCCUAACACAUGCAAGUCGAGCGAGAUCUUCGGGUCUAGCGGCGGACGGGUGAGUAACGCGUGGGAAUAUGCCCUUCUCUGCGGAAUAGCCUCGGGAAACUGAGCGUAAUACCGCAUACGCCCUUUGGGGGAAAGAUUUAUCGGAGAAGGAUUAGCCCGCGUUGGAUUAGGUAGUUGGUGGGGUAACGGCCUACCAAGCCGACGAUCCAUAGCUGGUUUGAGAGGAUGAUCAGCCACACUGGGACUGAGACACGGCCCAGACUCCUACGGGAGGAAGCAGUGGGGAAUCUUGGACAAUGGGGCAACCCUGAUCUAGCCAUGCCGCGUGAGUGAUGAAGGCCUUAGGGUUGUAAAGCUCUUUCAGCUGGGAAGAUAAUGACGGUACCAGCAGAAGAAGCCCCGGCUAACUCCGUG
rnacentral:rRNA from 1 species